CAAUGAAGGAAGCAUGGUAAUGUGCACAUAAAUUGAAUUGAGUUUCUAGACUUGCCUUCUCCAAUGCCAUUUGGCUUUGAUUUGGGGGCAUGGUUCCACAGCCAAACAA